GAUGAACGCUGGCGGCGUGCCUAAUACAUGCAAGUCGAGCGAACAGACGAUGAGCUUUCUCUUCUAACGGUGGCGGCGGGCGGGUGAGUAACACGUGCAUAACCUACCUAUAAGACUGGGAGAACUUCGUGAAACCGGUGCCAAUACCGGAUAAUAUAUUGAACCGCAUGGUUCAAUAGUGAAAGACGGUUUUCGUGUCAGUUAUAGAUGAAUCCGCGCUGGAUUAGCUAGUUGGUAAGGGAACGGCUUACCAAGGCAACGAUGCGUAGCCGGCAUGAGAGGGUGAUCAGCCACACUGGAACUGAGACACGGUCCAGACUCCUACGGGAGGCAGCAGUGGGGAAUAUUCCACAAUGGGCGAAAGCCUGACGGAGCAACGCCGCGUGGGUGAUGAAGGUCUUCGGAUCGUAAAACUCUGUUAUUAGGGAAGAACAAAUGUGUAAGUAACUCUGCACGUCUUGACGGUACCUAAUGAGAAAGCACCGGCUAACUACGUG
rnacentral:rRNA from 1 species